rnacentral:snRNA from 1 species
GGAUGUGAGGGAGAUCUGGCUGCAUCAUCUGUCACCCCAUUGAUCACCAGGGUUGAUUUGGCUGAUCUGGCUGGCUAGGCGGGUGUCCCCUUCCUCCCUCACUGCUCCAUGUGCAUCCCUCCCGAAGCUGCAUGCUCGAUCAAACAGGAUGACCAUCCCUGAGAGAGGAGGACUGUUCUUCAGUCAAGGGUAUACGAGUAGCUGUGCUCCCCUGCUAGAACCUCCAAACAAGCUCUCAAGAAACUGCUGUUUUUCCUCAUAUGUAGGUUAUAGACCUAAAAUAAGUGCAGUAAUAUAAUUGGACAUGAGUCACACAUU